CAUUGCAGCAGAAUAAAAAAACAUUUUCUCAGAAGCUAACAUCUUUAUUUUUAAUUUUUUAGAUACAUUUUUGGGGCUUUUUGCCUUUAUUAGAUAGGACAGCUGAAGGCGGACAGGAAAGGAGGGAGAGAGGGAGGGGGUGAUGCGCAGCAAAGGGCCACAGGUCGGAUUCAAAGCCAUGACUGUGGCAGAUGGGUGCAAACUCUACCAGGUUUACCCUUCCAGCCUGAGGUUUGGGAGAAACUGCUGCUCUUUCUGCUCCAUGCUGUUCUGGCUCCAGCAGUGUGUUUAUAAGCCACAGUCAGCCAGAAAGUACUCAGUGUGGGAGAAAUGACUGAAUCCUGAUUGUGAAUCAUUCCUACUCACAGGAGGAAAUGUGAUCUAGUCACCACGGCAACUGAACCCAGGGAUGCACGGAGACUUAAGAAAUUAAAGUCAAGAGGUUAUAUGAGCGAAAGGGGAUGGGGGAAGUCAAUAUUUGAUUAGCAAUGAGUCAGAAACAUGAAGCAUGUCACACUCUUCAGGCAUCCCCCAAUAGUUUAAUGCUGAAUAUAAACAGUAUAUGCCACAUAGUAAGUUGGAAAAUACAGAAGGUUCUGGUGAAAUUCUCUCUCCUACCAAACAUCUGAUUCAUCAGACUGGAAUUUUGACGUUGUGUGUGAAUGAAUCAAAUAGCUCCUGGAUCCCUUGAAGCAUAGGCAUAAAGUUCUGUAGGAACAAUUAAGGACUUAUCAGCCCUCUGAGCAAUAAAAGUGUUAUUGUGCUAAAUGUGUGCAAAGCAAAUCAGUUUGUCUGUGAUGUGA
rnacentral:lncRNA from 1 species